rnacentral:rRNA from 1 species
UUGACCUCGGAUCAGGUAGGAAUCCCCGCUGAACUUAAGCAUAUCAAUAAGGCGGAGGAAAGAAACCAACAGGGAUUGCCCUAGUAACGGCGAGUGAAGCGGCAACAGCUCAAAUUUGAAAUCUGGCUUCGGCCCGAGUUGUAAUUUGUAGAGGAUGCUUUUGGCGCGGUGCCUUCUGAGUUCCCUGGAACGGGACGCCAUAGAGGGUGAGAGCCCCGUAUAGUUGGACACCAAGCCUUUGUAAAGCUCCUUCGACGAGUCGAGUAGUUUGGGAAUGCUGCUCAAAAUGGGAGGUAAAUUUCUUCUAAAGCUAAAUACCGGCCAGAGACCGAUAGCGCACAAGUAGAGUGAUCGAAAGAUGAAAAGCACUUUGAAAAGAGGGUUAAAUAGCACGUGAAAUUGUUGAAAGGGAAGCGCUUAUGACCAGACUUGUCCCCGGUUGAUCAUCCAGUGUUCUCACUGGUGCACUCUGCCGGGGUCAGGCCAGCGUCGGUUCUCGUAGGGGGAUAAAAGCUUCAGGAACGUAGCUCCUCCGGGAGUGUUAUAGCCUGUUGCACAAUACCCUUGUGGGGACCGAGGUUCGCGCUCUGCAAGGACGCUGGCGUAAUGGUCAUCAGCGACCCGUCUUGAAACACGGACCAAGGAGUCGAGGUUUUGCGCGAGUGUUUGGGUGUCAAACCCGCACGCGUAAUGAAAGUGAACGUAGGUGAGAGCUUCGGCGCAUCAUCGACCGAUCCUGAUGUAUUCGGAUGGAUUUGAGUAAGAGCGUAUAGCCUCGGACCCGAAAGAUGGUGAACUAUGCCUGUAUAGGGUGAAGCCAGAGGAAACUCUGGUGGAGGCUCGCAGCGGUUCUGACGUGCAAAUCGAUCGUCAAAUAUGGGCAUGGGGGCGAAAGACUAAUCGAACCAUCUAGUAGCUGGUUACCGCCGAAGUUUCCCUCAGGAUAGCAGUGUUGUUCUUCAGUUUUAUGAGGUAAAGCGAAUGAUUAGGGACUCGGGGGCGCUUUUUAGCCUUCAUCCAUUCUCAAACUUUAAAUAUGUAAGAAGCCCUUGUUACUUAAUUGAACGUGGGCAUUCGAAUGUACCAACACUAGUGGGCCAUUUUUGGUAAGCAGAACUGGCGAUGCGGGAUGAACCGAACGCGGGGUUAAGGUGCCGGAGUGGACGCUCAUCAGACACCA